rnacentral:rRNA from 1 species
UACGUAGGGUGCAAGCGUUGUCCGGAAUUAUUGGGCGUAAAGAGCUCGUAGGCGGUUUGUCGCGUCGGCUGUGAAAACCUGGGGCUCAACCCCGGGCCUGCAGCCGAUACGGGCAAACUAGAAUUCGGUAGGGGAGACUGGAAUUCCUGGUGUAGCGGUGAAAUGCGCAGAUAUCAGGAGGAACACCGGUGGCGAAGGCAGUGGGCUGGGCCGGUACUGACGCUGAGGAGCGAAAGCGUGGGGAGCGAACAGG